UGGGGAAUUUUGGACAAUGGGGGAAACCCUGAUCCAGCCAUCCCGCGUGUGCGAUGAAGGCCUUCGGGUUGUAAAGCACUUUUGGCAGGAAAGAAACGUCGCGGGUUAAUACCCCGCGAAACUGACGGUACCUGCAGAAUAAGCACCGGCUAACUACGUGCCAGCAGCCGCGGUAAUACGUAGGGUGCAAGCGUUAAUCGGAAUUACUGGGCGUAAAGCGUGCGCAGGCGGUUCGGAAAGAAAGAUGUGAAAUCCCAGAGCUUAACUUUGGAACUGCAUUUUUAACUACCGGGCUAGAGUGUGUCAGAGGGAGGUGGAAUUCCGCGUGUAGCAGUGAAAUGCGUAGAUAUGCGGAGGAACACCGAUGGCGAAGGCAGCCUCCUGGGAUAACACUGACGCUCAUGCACGAAAGCGUGGGGAGCAAACAGGAUUAGAUACCCUGGUAGUCCACGCCCCUAAACGAUGUCAACUAGCUGUUGGGGGCCUUCGGGCCUUGGUAGCGCAGCUAACGCGUGAAGUUGACCGCCUGGGGAGUACGGUCGCAAGAUU
rnacentral:rRNA from 1 species